rnacentral:rRNA from 1 species
AUUCCCUGGGGAGAUGACUGUACUCGUAGAAGAAGCCCCGGCUAACUACGUGCCAGCAGCCGCGGUAAUACGUAGGGGGCGAGCGUUUUUCGGAUUUACUGGGUGUAAAGGGCGCGUAGGCGGAUUUGUAAGUCAGAGGUGAAAUCCCGGAGCUUAACUGGAGAACUGCCUUUGAUACUGCUUAUCUUGAGUUCGGCAGAGGGGAGGGGAAUUCCAGGUGUCGCAGUGAAAUGCGUAGAUAUGGGGAAGAACACCAAUGGCGAAGGCGGCCUCUUGGUCCGUCACUGACGCUGAGGCGCGAAAGCGUGGGGAGCAAACAGGAUUAGAUACCCUGGUAGUCCACGCCGUAAACGAUGA